AGAGUUUGAUCCUGGCUCAGGAUGAACGCUAGCUACAGGCUUAACACAUGCAAGUCGAGGGGCAGCAUGAUUGAAGCUUGCUUCAAUUGAUGGCGACCGGCGCACGGGUGAGUAACACGUAUCCAACCUGCCGAUAACUCGGGGAUAGCCUUUCGAAAGAAAGAUUAAUACCCGAUAGUAUAGUAUUUCCGCAUGGUUUCACUAUUAAAGAAUUUCGGUUAUCGAUGGGGAUGCGUUCCAUUAGAUAGUUGGCGGGGUAACGGCCCACCAAGUCAACGAUGGAUAGGGGUUCUGAGAGGAAGGUCCCCCACAUUGGAACUGAGACACGGUCCAAACUCCUACGGGAGGCAGCAGUGAGGAAUAUUGGUCAAUGGGCGAGAGCCUGAACCAGCCAAGUAGCGUGAAGGAUGACUGCCCUAUGGGUUGUAAACUUCUUUUAUAAAGGAAUAAAGUCGGGUAUGCAUACCCGUUUGCAUGUACUUUAUGAAUAAGGAUCGGCUAACUCCGUGCCAGCAGCCGCGGUAAUACGGAGGAUCCGAGCGUUAUCCGGAUUUAUUGGGUUUAAAGGGAGCGUAGAUGGAUGUUUAAGUCAGUUGUGAAAGUUUGCGGCUCAACCGUAAAAUUGCAGUUGAUACUGGAUAUCUUGAGUGCAGUUGAGGCAGGCGGAAUUCGUGGUGUAGCGGUGAAAUGCUUAGAUAUCACGAAGAACUCCGAUUGCGAAGGCAGCCUGCUAAGCUGCAACUGACAUUGAGGCUCGAAAGUGUGGGUAUCAAACAGGAUUAGAUACCCUGGUAGUCCACACGGUAAACGAUGAAUACUCGCUGUUUGCGAUAUACAGCAAGCGGCCAAGCGAAAGCGUUAAGUAUUCCACCUGGGGAGUACGCCGGCAACGGUGAAACUCAAAGGAAUUGACGGGGGCCCGCACAAGCGGAGGAACAUGUGGUUUAA
rnacentral:rRNA from 1 species